UGGGGAAUUUUGGACAAUGGGCGAAAGCCUGAUCCAGCCAUGCCGCGUGAGUGAAGAAAGCCUUCGGGUUGUAAAGCUCUUUUAGUCGGAAAGAAAGAGUUGCAAUGAAUAAUUGUGAUUUAUGACGGUACCGACAGAAAAAGCACCGGCUAACUACGUGCCAGCAGCCGCGGUAAUACGUAGGGUGCGAGCGUUAAUCGAAAUUACUGAGCGUAAAGAAUGCGCAGGCGGUCUUGCAAGUCAGAUGUGAAAGCCCCGGGCUUAACCUGGGAAUUGCGUUUGAAACUACAAGGCUAGAGUGCAGCAGAGGGGAUGGAAUUCCAUGUGUAGCAGUGAAAUGCGUAGAGAUGUGGAAGAACACCGAUGGCGAAGGCAGCUCCCUGGGUUGACACUGACGCUCAU
rnacentral:rRNA from 1 species